GUACUACUUCCUUCGUCCGGAAAUACUUGUCAUUAAAAUGAAUAAAAGGGGAUGUAUCUAAGUGUACUUUAAUUCUAGAUACAUCCCUUUUUGUCCAUUUUGAUGACAAGUAUUUUCGGACGGAGGGAGUAAUAC
rfam:Triticum aestivum genome assembly, contig: Triticum_aestivum_CS42_TGACv1_scaffold_577351_7BL